rnacentral:rRNA from 1 species
GACAGAGGUGCCAAGCGUUAGGCGGAAUCACUGGGCUUAAAGCGUGUGUAGGCGGACUUUUAAGUCAGCGGUGAAAUCUCCGGGCUCAACCCGGAAACUGCCAUUGAUACUAUUGGUCUUGAAUGUUGUUGAGGUGGGCGGAACGGGUCAUGUAGCGGUGAAAUGCAUAGAUAUGACCCGGAACACCGAUUGCGUAGGCAGCCCACUAAGCAACGAUUGACGCUGAGGCACGAAAGCGUGGGGAUCAAACAGG